GAGCCGAAGAAGGACGGGACUAACACCGAUAUGCUUUGGGGAGCUGUACGUAAGCGUUGAUCCAGAGAUUUCCGAAUGGGGGAACCCACUAUCUUUAGUCGGAUAGUAUCCUUACGUGAAUACAUAGCGUGAGGAAGGCAGACCCAGGGAACUGAAACAUCUAAGUACCUGGAGGAAGAGAAAGAAAAAUCGAUUUCCUGAGUAGCGGCGAGCGAAACGGAAAGAGCCCAAACCAAGAAGCUUGCUUCUUGGGGUUGUAGGACACUCUAUACGGAGUUACAAAAGAAAGUUAUAAAUGAAGCGGUCUGGAAAGGCCCGCCAAAGACGGUAACAGCCCGGUAGUUGAAAUGGCUUUCCCUCCAGAGUGGAUCCUGAGUACGGCGGAACACGUGAAAUUCCGUCGGAAUCCGGGAGGACCAUCUCCCAAGGCUAAAUACUCCCUAGUGACCGAUAGUGAACCAGUACCGUGAGGGAAAGGUGAAAAGCACCCCGGAAGGGGAGUGAAACAGUUCCUGAAACCGUGUGCCUACAAGUAGUUAGAGCCCGUUAAUGGGUGAUAGCGUGCCUUUUGUAGAAUGAACCGGCGAGUUACGAUUUGUUGCAAGGUUAAGCGGAAAAAGCGGAGCCGUAGCGAAAGCGAGUCUGAAUAGGGCGCAUAAGUAACAGGUCGUAGACCCGAAACCAGGUGAUCUACCCAUGUCCAGGAUGAAGGUAAGGUAAUACUUACUGGAGGUCCGAACCCACGCACGUUGAAAAGUGCGGGGAUGAGGUGUGGGUAGCGGAGAAAUUCCAAUCGAACUUGGAGAUAGCUGGUUCUCUCCGAAAUAGCUUUAGGGCUAGCCUCGAGGUAAAGAGUCAUGGAGGUAGAGCACUGUUUGGACUAGGGGCCCUUCUCGGGUUACCGAAUUCAGAUAAACUCCGAAUGCCAUGUACUUAUACUCGGGAGUCAGACUGCGAGUGAUAAGAUCCGUAGUCGAAAGGGAAACAGCCCAGACCACCAGUUAAGGUCCCCAAAUAUAUGUUAAGUGGAAAAGGAUGUGGGGUUGCUUAGACAACCAGGAUGUUGGCUUAGAAGCAGCCACCAUUGAAAGAGUGCGUAAUAGCUCACUGGUCGAGUGACCCCGCGCCGAAAAUGUACCGGGGCUAAACAUAUUACCGAAA
rnacentral:rRNA from 1 species